rnacentral:lncRNA from 1 species
GGAGAGCGCUUUCAGGAAGUCGGACUUACAGGAGGCUGCGUACAGUGCUGCCUGGAAGAUCUGCACGAUCCAGCCGUGGUACUUCAUGAGGGCCAUUUCGUAGGCCUUGGUGGCGUUGACGCGGAUGAGGUUGAGGUGGUUCUCGUCCGGCUCCUCGUUGCAGAUGCUCUGGAGGAAGACCUGGAUGAAGCGGAGGCCUCUUUUCAGCCACAUCAGCGCCAGCGUGGCCCCUACUUUGAGCCGCUCUGCUCCAUACAUUUCUUUCUCCACCUCCAGGAUGUUCUGCAGGGUCCGGAACUUGGCUGGGUUGGUGUCGUACACAGCUUUGAUUUUUGUGAUGUUGCUGCUUAUGUCUGCCUUGAUGGGAGUAAACACUGGGGACCCAAGGCAAUCGAAGAAGGGCGGCAGGUGGGACACCGCCUCGAGGAAGGGCCCAGUCUCGAUCUGCUUGUCCGCGGGCAGCGGCUUCAGCAGGUGUUCGGUCAGCAGAGCCAUUUCGGGUUCGAGGCCCACGGUGAUGCCCCAGCCGGCACCGCGGGCGUCCACACCGCACCCCCCGCCACCGCCGUCAGCGCCCGGGCAGUCACAGCCCUUUUUUUGGUAUGUU